GACCUAAACCGCUUGGGCGGCAUGGUUGUAACAAAAUCCAUCGCGAAAUGAAAAGCUCGUCGUCAGAGCACUAUUUCGCGAUGGUCAGUAUCGGAAACGAUACUGGGUAGCCUAGGCUACC
rnacentral:sRNA from 1 species